AACGAACGCUGGCGGCAUGCCUAACACAUGCAAGUCGAACGAGACCUUCGGGUCUAGUGGCGCACGGGUGCGUAACGCGUGGGAACCUGCCCUUAGGUUCGGAAUAACUCCCCGAAAGGGGUGCUAAUACCGGAUAAUGUCUUCGGACCAAAGAUUUAUCGCCUUUGGAUGGGCCCGCGUUGGAUUAGCUAGUUGGUAGGGUAAAAGCCUACCAAGGCGACGAUCCAUAGCUGGUCUGAGAGGAUGAUCAGCCACACUGGGACUGAGACACGGCCCAGACUCCUACGGGAGGCAGCAGUGGGGAAUAUUGGACAAUGGGCGAAAGGCUGAUCCAGCAAUGCCGCGUGAGUGAUGAAGGCCUUAGGGUUGUAAAGCGCUUUUAACCGGGAUGAUAAUGACAGUACCGGGAGAAUAAGCUCCGGCUAACUCCGUG
rnacentral:rRNA from 1 species